GUUGACAUGUGGCGGUAAUGAACAGAGACCUGCUCUGUUUCGACGACUUUCUAGUUGACAAAUGUGCUAGCAUUACAAGAAGGACUCCUUGCUGAGGUUUGUGUCAGAGGAAAGCUUUGGUCUUGUGAGCUGCUGCUGCUCCGGAUGGAAAGCAUGGAGGUGAUUCUUCAGCUGGAGGAUUACCUGAAUCCAUGGGUAUCGAUCACCCUCGGCUGCACUCCAGGCAUUGACGAGGCCCUUCUUGUUAAGUCUGGCAAAGUACGGAAACCACUUCUGCAGGCCGAACAGAGCUCGAUGUGUGGAGGAAGCUGUUACCUGCUGGUUCGAAAUGAUCCCCCCUUCCAUCCCUAAAGGCCCAGAACAUUCUGAGAGAACAGACAGAGAAAAAAUAUGUAAGAAAAAAACACAUGUAACACCUCUUAAAUAUUCCCAGUUUAAAAUAUUGUUUUAUUUAUUGUUUAACUCUCAUAGACAAUUAAAUGGAGAGAUUUUGCUCAAGUAACCUUCUGAAAUGCUUGUCCUCAGAGAAGUCCUGUAUUCUCUAAAGAGAGUUUUAGGAAAUAUCUUAAUAAUGUCUCAUAUUUCAAAUAAAGGUGAAUAGUUAUAUAUAAACUUAAAUGUUUCAUAUUACUACUAAAUGUUCACCUUGAUUUUAUAACGUCAUAAUCUUACUGUGUGCUAACAACUAUCUCAUUUGCAGGACCAUUUAAAUUUUUAAAACAAAUAUUGGUAACUAUUCUGGCAGAGAUUUUGUUUUAUGGCUUGUUGCCGUCGUGUUGUGGAGAUUUCAUUGUGUGCUAAUUUUAUUUUGUUGUGUUGUGCUAAUUUCGUUGUGUUGUGGAGGUUUUGUUGUGUUAUGCUAAUUUCAUUGUGUUGUAGAGAUUUUGUUGUGUUGUGCUAAUUUUGUUGUGUUGUGGAGAUUUCGUUUGUGUUAUGCUAAUUUCAUUGUGUUGUGUUGUGCUAAUUUCGUUGUGUUGUGGAGAUUUCGUUGUGUGCUAAUUUUGUUGUGUUGUGGAGAUUUCGUUGUGUUAUGCUAAUUUCAUUGUGUUGUGGAGAUUUCGUUGUGUUAUGCUAAUUUCAUUGUGUUGUAGAGAUUUUGUUGUGUUGUGCUAAUUUCGUUGUGUUGUGGAGAUUUUGUUGUGUUAUGCUAAUUUCAUUGUGUUGUAGAGAUUUUGUUGUGUUGUGCUAAUUUUGUUGUGUUGUGGAGAUUUCGUUGUGUUAUGCUAAUUUCAUUGUGUUGUGUUGUGCUAAUUUCGUUGUGUUGUGGAGAUUUUAUUGUAUGCUAAUUUCGUUGUGAUGUAGAGAUUUUGUUGUGUGCUAAUUUCAUUGUGUUGUAGAGAUUUUGUUUUGUUGUGCUAAUUUCGUUGUGUUGUGGAGGUUUCGUUGUGUGCUCAUUUCGUUGUUUUGUGGAGAUUUUGUUGUGUGCCAAUUUAGUUGUGUAGCGGCUUGUUUCCAUUGUGUUGUGCUAAUUUCCUUGUGUUGUGGAGAUUUUGUUGUGUUGUGCACAAUUGCAGUGCACUGUGCAUUGUGUAGUUCGAUUUCUGAAUGAAUGAUUUUUAUAAAUCAAUUCUUACUGAAUCAAAACACAACAGCGCCACCUGUGUAAUUCGAUUUCUAAAGGAAUGAUUCUUAUGUGUCAGUUCUUUUUAGUAAAACAGAAAGCUCUACCAAUU